rnacentral:rRNA from 1 species
AUGAACUCCGUGCUGCAGGCGCUCCUCCAUGCGCCGCCGCUCCGGAACUAUUUCCUUGGGGAUCGCCACAACCGCUUCCUCUGCCCGCGCCGCACGCCCAUGAGGCACCGUACAACGGAUGCCGAGGCCAAGGCCGCGUGCCUAGCUUGCGAUCUCGACGAGAUCUACUCUGCCACCUUCUCUGGGGAGCGCACGCCCUACAGCCCCGCCAAGUUCCUCUAUAGCUGGUGGCAGCAUGCAACAAACCUUGCAAGCUACGAGCAACAGGACGCACAUGAAUUUUUUAUCUCCAUCCUUGACCAUAUUCAUGAAAAUAUAAAGGAUGAUCAGCACAAAUCAAAUGAACAAGGUGAUGGAGACUGUUGCAUUGCACACCGGGUGUUUUCUGGUAUCCUGAGAUCAGAUGUCACCUGCACAAAUUGUGGGUUCUCAUCCACAACGUUUGAACCUUGCAUGGACAUUUCUUUAGACUUGGAUUCUGGACAUAAUAAUUAUCUCGGCGUUGCAAACCCAAAGCUGCAUGCGCGCAACGGCGAGAGAAACGUAGCUGGCAUGAGUUCCAAGGUAUCGACACUCAUGAGAUGUUUGGAGCGGUUUACCAGGGCUGAGAGGCUAGAUGCUGAACAGAAGUACUUCUGUGAACGUUGCAAGGAGAGGCAAGAGUCCCUGAAGCAAAUGUCCAUUCGGAGGCUUCCGUUAGUUUCCUGCUUUCACAUCAAGAGAUUUGAGCAUUCGACAGUUAAGAAGAUGUCAAGGAAGGUUGACCACUCGUUGCAGUUCCCCUUUUCUCUUGACAUGACACCUUACCUGUCGUCCUCCAUCCUCAGAAGUAGGUACGGAAACCGCAUAUUUCCAUCAGAAGCCUGUGAUUCUGAAGCAGUUUCUGAAUCGCCUUCAGAAUUCGAAAUAUUUGCGGUGAUCACGCAUAGUGGUAAGCUAGAUGCUGGCCACUAUGUGACAUAUCUGAGGUUAAACAAUCAGUGGUACAGAUGUGAUGAUGCCUGGGUAACCAGAGUUGAUGAGCAUACUGUCAGAAGCUCCCAGGCCUAUAUGCUCUUCUAUGUGCAGAAGACGCUUUACUAUAAAGCUUGUGAAAGGGCAGCUGCAGUCUGA